CCCGACUGCUAUCGGAUUGGGAUUUAGCCAUGUUAGUUGUGCGUUCCUUGGCUACAGGGGACGCAGCAUACGGCUCAGUAACACCGUAGUCAACCUGCCCUGGAGACGCGGACAACCCCGGGAAACUGGGGCCUAUCCGCGAUAGAUGGCCUCAUCCGGAAGGAGAGGCCGUCCAAAUGGGUGCACGGGUAUGCUCUGUGCAAACCGCUCCAGGAUGGGACUGCGGCCGAUCAGGCUGUUGGCAGGGUAAUGGCCCACCAAACCUGUAACCGGACGGGCUUGAGAGAAGGAGCCCGAGAGGACACGAGACAAGGGUCCAGGCCCUACGGGGCGCAUCAGGCGCGAAAACUUCGCAAUGCGCGAAAGCGCGACGAGGCUAGUCCGAGUGCUUCCCGCUAAAGGGAGCUCUCUCGCGCCGAACUGUGAACGCCGCCCCCAGGCCCAUCAUGA
rnacentral:rRNA from 1 species